UCUGUGUGGUAUGAAUUUAUACAUUAUACAAGUUUCACUUCUUGAAGGGAAUUACUGAAAUAAACCUUGACUUGCAGUUAUACACAUUUUGUCCUGGUGUAGAGAAAAAACAGAUUUAAAGCUUUAAUUAUAAUUAAUGUAUGUAAAUAUGAUAAUUGUACUGUAAAUACAAAGGGUUUGGGGGUCUUAUCGUAUUUCUGGAAUAAAUAUAAUACCACCUGCACGUGGAGCAGUUACUGGAUAAAGCAGAGAAAAGUAUCAUGAAUGUUGCCAUCACCGUUGGUAACCAGAGCUUGGACACACCAAUCAUCUUUAUUGAUACAAAUUCAUAAGGGGAUGUCUUACUUUACAACUCCCCACAUGGGCUUGGACAGGCUUAGAGAACCAAGUCAGACCGGGACACCCACUCACUCAAUCAGGACUGGUCUGUGAAAGGAGUAGUACACAACAUUGUACAAGAUCUUCAGUGUCUUGGCAAUUUCUUGCAUAGAAUAGCCUUCAUUUCAGAAAACUAGAAUAACAAAUGACGAGAUUCAGAAUAAUGUUAUUUGUAUCUGGACAUUUUGAGCCUGUAAUUGAACCCAAUUGCUGAUGCUGCAGACACUGAACAAGUCUAAAGAAGGCCAGUUUUAUUGCUUCUUUAAUCAGCUCAACAGUUGUCUGCCUUGAUAACAUAAUUGCAAAAGGGUUUUGUAAUCAUCAAAACAAGCCAUUACAUACCCCAUCAGAUUCUCACUAUUUAAUAUGGUAUUUACUCUUCUAAUUUACCGAGUGACAUGGGAGUAGAUCUGUCAUCAUCAGGAUCUUGAGGAGUCCUCUGGGAGUUAAAAUGAGUUCUCCCCUGAAGAAAGACAUCAGGAUGAAUCACCACACCAGGCGCUUGAUGAAACCAUGGAGACAGAUAGGAGUGUCUAUCUGGACAGAGCAGAAUCCAUUGUUUCUGGUGUUGAAUCAUGGAGGAGUAACAAUUCCAUGGACACCAUUAUUAAUUUAAAAAGGAUGGGCAAGAACAGACAGUAUGUCAGGAGCAUCACAGACCUCUGGAGGUGUUCUGCAGGACAGACCAGAUGUUUAUCUGUAGUCUCUGUUCAGCCACAAAGCACAGAGGACAUGAUACAAACUACAAUGACAAACAAGCCGGAAGACAGCACUUGUAUCCAGAGCGAUGUUGGAGACCGUACUUACUUGACACUCCUCCUGGUGAGAUUCAGUUCCAUUCGGUGAUGUCUGGCUCUGUCUCUCUGAUCUGGGGGCCUCCUGAAGGACUGAACGGACCGCACAAGUUCAUAGUAACCUGGGGAUGUGAUGAAGAACCGCUCAGCCUGAGGGUAGAUGGUUGUAGUGUUACAGUAGAUGAACUCCAGCCUGGUAAAUGUUACCAGUUCCAUGUGACCACAGAGGGGGAAGAUUGUAGUUGAUCGGUCUCCGCAUCUGUAUGAACAGGUUAAAUAACUGGAAUUUGACUUUGGUUAUUUGCAUGUUUUUUUCAUGGUGCACAAACAAGUUAUUAAAUGUUAUAUUACAUCUUCUGAAACCCAUCC